UGAAAGUUUAACAAGAUCUUUUCUGUAGAAGGCGUCAGCCUGCCCUCCCUCGCUCAGGACUAUCUACACGUAUCACCCAUUCAACGAGCCAGAGUCAGUGAGAGUAACAAACAGAACAUUAUUAUAGAAAAAUGAGAGCGCUGAGAAAUCAGCAACUGGAAGAUACCUCUGUAACUAAUAAAUGAAAAGAACCUUUUGAAGGCUCCAGCUGAAAA